AAUGAAUUGACGGGGGCCCGCACAAGCGGUGGAGCAUGUGGUUUAAUUCGAUGCAACGCGAAGAACCUUACCUACUCUUGACAUCCAGAGAACUUUCCAGAGAUGGAUUGGUGCCUUCGGGAACUCUGAGACAGGUGCUGCAUGGCUGUCGUCAGCUCGUGUUGUGAAAUGUUGGGUUAAGUCCCGCAACGAGCGCAACCCUUAUCCUUUGUUGCCAGCGGUUAGGCCGGGAACUCAAAGGAGACUGCCAGUGAUAAACUGGAGGAAGGUGGGGAUGACGUCAAGUCAUCAUGGCCCUUACGAGUAGGGCUACACACGU
rnacentral:rRNA from 1 species